CAGAAGAUAGUUUAAUUAAAAUAUUAAUUUUGGAGAUUAAUGAUAGGAAGUAUUUCUUCUUCUGA
rnacentral:tRNA from 1 species